GUAGAAAGGUAUCACAGGAUACAUCUAAAUUAUGGUAUGCCAAGGAUUGGAUGGCUUAUAUUGAAUUGGGAGGAGCGUACUACAGUGUAGAGGUCCUCUGUUUGCUCCAUUCAAGUAUUUGUGUACAAGCGACGAGCCUUUCUGAACCAAUUUUAAUUUGAAAAUUUCAACUGCUUUGACGUACAAACGAUAAAAAAAAAC
rnacentral:lncRNA from 7 species